UUGUAGAAAAAAGGCAUGCAUGGUGGAGAAACUUCCCACUUAAAUCAUGAGAGGGAGAUUUGUAGGAUGGAUCGUUCUUAAAAUAAGACCCACAAUUUAUUUAGAAAAAGGUAAAAUAAAAAAUAAAAAAUAAAAGAAGAGUUUUUUUAUGUGCAUUGCACAAUUGAGCAGAACAAAGACCAUAACGAGAUAUGGACCAAAAUAGGCACACGUCUCUUGCUGAUCUUCUUGGUUUCACAAUGGACUUCACUCAUUUCAUUUAUCUAGAUGCCCAUAUCUUUAUUGGGAGACCUAAAAACAUUUAUUUUCAAUACAUUGCUGACAAAAUCAUGCUUAAGCUUGCUUCUUGGAAAGCUAGUCUCCUCUCCAUGGCUGGCAGGCUCAAACUUGUCAAAUAUGUGAUGCGUGGUAUGUUGAUGCAUAUCCUAACCAUCUAUAAUUAGCCCUGUGGGUUAAUCAACAACAUUGAAUCUUGGAUGCGUAAUUUUAUUUGAAGUGGGGAUUUGGACAAAAGGAAAGUUGCCACUAAUGCCUGGAAUAAAUGUUGCAAUAGCUUUAAGAAUGGUGGCUAAGGGAUUAGAUCCUUAAUAAGUCUCAAUGAUGCUGCUAAUUUAUCUGUUUGUUGGGCUUUGGUGCAGAAAAAUUCCAGUUGGGCUAAGCUUCUUUUUGCAAGACUUUUCAGAGACUACUAUACUCGAUCUGAGGAAACCUUAUUUAUGGCUAUUAUAUUCCUGAGCACCAUGUUGAAGAUAGAUUAGUGUGGCAUGGCAUGGAGAACAGUGAAUUCAACCUCAAACAAGCUUACAAUUUUUUGGUGAAACCUCCUUAAUCUAACUUCUGGAAUGACUUUCCUUCAUCUAAGUAUCUUCUUUUGUGGCAUUUCCUUCAUAACCGGCUUCCUACAGACGAUAAUAUGUCCAGACGUGGGUUUGCUAUUACGUUUAUGUGCUAUAUUUUCAUAAAGAAUUCAUAACCUUCUUCUCAUAUUUUCUUUGAGUGUGAUUUUGUGAUUCCAAUAUGGAGGUGGUUCAAUGAUCUGUUUAAUGUUCAUAGCCAUUUAGGUUGUUUCAAUGACUGCAUGUUGGCCAUUAAACCUAGCUGGUCUGCUCAGCUUGCUAUUACCUUUAAAGCAUCCAUUGUGUAUCUUUUCUCUGAGAUUUGGAAAGCUAGAAACCUUUCUAGGUUUAAGGGUAGGAAGGUUAUUUGGAACUCGUGCGUUUUCUCUAUUGUUACAGCUGCUACUUUUGUUGGAAAUCGUACCAUCAAACCUUCCACUUCAGUCAUGGAGAAUUUUUGUAUUCUUAAGAAGCUUCAUAUCUCUAUUCAUCCUCCCAAGAACAAGAAGUCUAUCAACAUCCUUUGGCAGCCUCUGAGUAGAGGUUGGAUCAAAUGCAACACUGGCGAUUUUGUUUUAGGUGUUCCGUCUAUUUGCUCUUGUGAGGGUAUUUUCAGAAAUGAGUUUGCUAAUCACUUGGCGACUUUACUAUUUUUUUGGAUGAGGAUAAUGCUUUGUUUGCAGAACUCAUGGCAACUAUGUUUGCUAUUGAGUAAGCUAGAGAGAAUAAGUGGAACAAUCUUUGGAUUAAAUUCGAAGACUUAGAAUCACUUCUUAAGGGGUUUUGGUCCUAUAACUUUGAGUGAUAGAUAAAUGUGUAGUAAAUUUUAUCAGUUUGAGCUAUAAAUUAAGUAUUUUGUUCCUAUAACUUAGUUAAUUUUAUUUAUAUUUCUGUAGAGUAGUUUUACAUUCUCUUAGAGUUGUUUUGCAAUAUAGUGUGUUUCCCAUCUUUGUUGGUUAAUGGCGGAGAUUAUUAUUCUUUAGUGUUACUAAAAAAAUUAGUAUAUACUCAUUAUUUAUAUAGUGGGAGGAUUUACUGAA